rnacentral:rRNA from 1 species
ACUCAAAGGAAUAGACGGGGGCUCACACAAGCGGUGGAGCAUGUGGUUCAAUUCGAAGCAACGCGCAGAACCUUACCUGGGCUUGACAUGCUAGGAUUAUCUCUAUGAAAGUAGAGUAGGCCCUUCGGGGUACAACUAGUACAGGUGCUGCAUGGCUGUCGUCAGCUCGUGUCGUGAGAUGUCGGGUUAAGUCCCUUAACGAGCGAAACCUUUGCCCUUAGUUACCAGCGAGUAAAGUCGGGGACUCUAAGGGGACUGCCGGUGUCAAACCGGAGGAAGGUGGAGAUGACGUCAAGUCCUCAUGGCCUUUAUGCCCAGGGCCACACACGUGCUACAAUGGCGUUCACAAAGCGAACCUAAAGCGCAAGCUCAUGGAAAUCGCAGAAAUAACGCCCCAGUUCAGAUUGGAGGCUGCAACUCGCCUCCAUGAAGUUGGAAUCGCUAGUAAUCGCGGAUCAGCUACGCCGCGGUGAAUGUGUUCCUGAGCCUUGCACACACCGCCCGU